CAUUGUGUUCGUCAUCCUUGCUCCCCUGCACAAAGACACAGCAGCUAGCUUCCCCACAGUCACCGUCUUUGUCACAUUCCUGCAGCGUAUGUGUCGUUCAGACUACCUAGCCAUGUUCAGACAAUGUCAGCAGGACACAUGAGCCAAUGGCAGUGAUCCCCUGGGGACAGAUCGUAUCACCGAUAACAGCGUCAGUGGGCACUGCUGUGCUCUUGUUGUUUGCGUGAACCUAUAAAUGGAACGGCUGUAGAGUCAGAGAUCUCUAGUUAAAUGGAAAAGACAAAGACGAGCUGCUAUUGACGCAGGAACCCCAAAGGAUGCAAAGCAUAGAAGACUGAAGUUAUGUCAGAGUCGACUAAGAGGGGAACAAUGGCUGCCUACAGAACGUCUCUUCGCCUUAAUAAGGUUGAGGAUCUCUCCACCUCCACGUCGCACAUCAAUACCUCCAACAGCUGGGAGAUAACAGGGGAGGACAAAGAAACCCUUGAGAACAGUACAAGGAAAACCGGAACAAAGUCACAAUAAUUAGGCGUAAAUGAGUUCGGCGCGGAGAGAAAUGAGCUCGGCGCUGAAGACAGCUGCACAAAGCAAAUUAAUUUGAACAGGCAAACUCUAAACUAAGGCGUCUAAAAAUAAAUCAGUCACAAAGAUUAGGAAACUAUUAUUUGUUAAGGUGGGUUCCUGGUGGUCAAAAAGUGAGGAAGAAAACUAUCAUCAUGAGCGGUGAUGUUACCGGUUAGUAAAAAGGAAAAAAAAAGGUUUUUAUUAAAAUACAAAUGCAAAAUAAAUUAUUUUCAUCUGGUGGUGGGACUCUAAUGAAUUCGCUGCAAUUAAUCAAAAGCCAUCUAUCAACAAUAUAAGCUAAAUUUUGUCUGUUGCAAUUCAUAAAAAUCCCUUUUCUGCUAAAUUCCAGAGUAGGUAAACAUAUGAGCUGAACAACAAAGAUUUUUAUUGCUUUUGAUAUGUUAUUUAUUUUAUUCAGCCAUCAGAUUGGUGCGCAAAGCUAUCACACCCGUUUAGAAAUGUAUUCUGUGGACGCUGACAUUAGCAUCGGAGACAUCUGUGCUGCUGCUACAUAUUUAGCAGUGUUGUUUCACUAUCUACACUAACUCUUUGAAGAAUUAAAAUAAAUAUGAAUUACAGCAACACUUAAUUUGCCUUUGGGUUGGGAUCAAUAAAGUAUUUUUGAAUUGAAUUAGAAUUGAAUUGAGAUGCUAUUUUGGGUUUGAGUAGCUUUGCUAACAGGCUAACUCUUUUUAGCACAACCUACAACAUUAGUCGUUUCCAGUCCCAGCAGAUUAAAAUUAAACCCCAGUGGGUCAAGAGAGGUGAUUUCUCCAUGGAUGUCUCUUGUGUGUCAGAUUUACGGACGUACCAGAAACAGAAAUGUAAAGGUUCCAUUGUUGGGACUUUUGUAUAAAAAAGGGAUUAAUUGCAAUCAAGUUUUUAAUUGAAAUUAACACGUUAAAGUCCUGGCUAAAGGUGGGCAAUAUGGGCUGUCAUGGAAAAUUGCAAUAAGGUCACAUCUGCUAGUCAUGUCAUAUGAAAUGUUUAUGAACUCUCACCAAAAGAACUAUUUGGGUUUCAUGUAGAAGGUUGGAAGUUGUUUUCUACAGCUGCAUCAGAACCAGGCUGUCUCUCCCCUUGUUGUUAUUUCUUUAUCUUUGGUAUAAAACUCUUGUGUUGUCUCUGCCUGGCAGAGCUUAGCAAGCUUUUCAUCCAGACCUGCUUCAUUACUGAUUGUCCUACAAGCUCUCGGUAUUGUGCACAAUAUAUGAAUAAACCUGAUUGAGUGAUUUCACCUGAA